AAUGCUGGCGCCGCGCAUGAAUGGGACAGCUCGGUGUGGAAAAACUGGACAAUUUUCAGUCGGUACGUCUGAAAACAAGAGCAAGUAUUAUCGACAUGGACGUGCGGCACUCAUACGGCAAGCCGAUGUGUUUUUUUUUAACUACUACCUUGGGACAUCACAGCAUUGAAGUUCUAACCUAACCUAACCGAACGAAACAUUUCUAAGGCCAUCGCAACUCGGAAUGUCUAGCGUAAACAUUUUUUUGGAAAAUUCGGUGUGAUUGCUGCUGUAUGGUCCUGGAAGUCAUUAAAUGUACUGAUAGUCGCUAAUACGUAUCAGAAAAAGUCCUGGAACUCACCGAUCAACAAAUUUAUAUGUGUCCUAUGUAAGGUGACCCGAUUAUUCGAAUCGAGUAACCAAACGAAAGAAAAGGGAAGAGAUAGAGGGAUAAGGGGGAGGAUGAGGGGAGGAGAGAGAGAGAGAGAAAGAACAACAAAUAAAAAAAAGAAGAAAAAAGGAGUCAUCCAAAAAACCCCGAUCCGAUCCCAAUCUAUGCUGAUGUGGUAUUGGAACAUAAGCUGGGGUCAAUCCAUGCAUAAUGAAAUUUCGACUUGCAUGUAUAUUGUUUGAUUCCUCUGUGUCUGUGUGUUGCGCGCAUCAAGCACUGUGGAACGUUAGGCCAGGUAUGCGCGGCCUGAAAUGAUUUGCUCUUAUACGUUUAUCAUACCUUAUCUCUGUGUAAGUGCUCCAGCUUCGCCCCCGAAGAAAGGAGGACACAUGCACACGCACUUUUUUUUCUACUAAAUUCGGGGCCUCCGAGACUUUUCUACCCGAUUCGAAUCCGAGAUGAUUGGUGAUUCUUCUCCCCCUCUGGACCCACUAGCCAAUGAUCAGAACGAUU